rnacentral:rRNA from 1 species
AUUGAACGCUGGCGGCAGGCCUAACACAUGCAAGUCGAACGAGCGGCGGACGGGUGAGUAAUGUCUGGGAAACUGCCUGAUGGAGGGGGAUAACUACUGGAAACGGUAGCUACUACCGCAUACCAUCAGAUGUGCCCAGUUGGGAUUAGCUAGUAGGUGGGGUAAUGGCUCACCUAGGCGACGAUCCCUCCCUGGUCUGAGAGGAUGACCAGCCAACCUGGAACUGAGACACGGUCCAGACUCCUACGGGAGGCAGCAGUGGGGAAUAUUGCACAAUGGGCGCAAGCCUGAUGCAGCCAGGCCGCGUGUGUGAAGAAGGCCUUCGGGUUGUAAAGCACUUUCAGCGAGGAGGCGUUACUCGCAGAAGAAGCACCGGCUAACUCCGUGCCAGCAGCCGCGGUAAUAC